UACGUAGGGGGCGAGCGUUGUCCGGGAUUAUUGGGCGUAAAAGAGCUCGUAGGCGGUUUGGUAAGUCGGGUGUGAAAUCUCCACGCUCAACGUGGAGGGGCCACUCGAUACUGCCAUGACUCGAGUCCGGUAGAGGAGUGUGGAAUUCCCGGUGUAGCGGUGAAAUGCGCAGAUAUCAGGAGGAACACCUAUUGCGAAGGCAGCUCGCUGGGACGUAACUGACGCUGAGACGCGAAGGCCAGGGAGAGAAACGGG
rnacentral:rRNA from 1 species